UACGGAGGGUGCGAGCGUUGUCCGGAAUCAUUGGGCGUAAAGGGCGCGUAGGUGGCGGGACAAGCGUGCGGUGAAAGCUCGGGGCUCAACCCCGAGUCGGCCGUGCGAACUGUUUUGCUUGAGCACUGUAGAGGCAGGCGGAAUUCCGGGUGUAGCGGUGGAAUGCGUAGAGAUCCGGAAGAACACCGGUGGCGAAGGCGGCCUGCUGGGCAGUAGCUGACACUGAGGCGCGACAGCGUGGGGAGCAAACAGGAUUAGAAACCCCUGGGUAG
rnacentral:rRNA from 1 species